GACGAACGCUGGCGGCGUGCUUAACACAUGCAAGUCGAACGGAAAGGCCCUGCUUUUGUGGGGUGCUCGAGUGGCGAACGGGUGAGUAACACGUGAGUAACCUGCCCUUGACUUUGGGAUAACCUCAGGAAACUGGGGCUAAUACCGGAUAGGAGCUCCUGCUGCAUGGUGGGGGUUGGAAAGCUUCGGCGGUUGGGGAUGGACUUGCGGCUUAUCAGCUUGUUGGUGGGGUAGUGGCUUACCAAGGCUUUGACGGGUAGCCGGCCUGAGAGGGGGACCGGCGACAUGGGGACUAAGAUACGGCGCAGACUCCUACGGGAGGCAGCAGUGGGGAGUAUUACACAAUGGGCGGAAGCCUGAUGCAGCGACGCCGGGUGCGGGAUGACGGCCUUCGGGGUGUAAACCGCUUUCGCCUGUGACGAAGCGUGAGUGACGGUAAUGGGUAAAGAAGCACCGGCUAACUACGUG
rnacentral:rRNA from 1 species